rnacentral:misc_RNA from 1 species
ACCAUUUUUUUUUUGGUUCGUCAUAGACAUGUUCCAAGACAUUACGGGUUACAGCCACCAAACCCAAGUUCUAUACGCGUUUAAGCUGUGAAAAAAUAGGUAUGCCGCGAACACGGCACACAAUCUAUCAUAAGUUGUACAAUAUGCAUCAAAUAAAAUUGCACCUUUCUUGACAUAAUGCCUACGAUAGCUUCUCAUUUGCUAAUUUAUCUCAAACACAUAUAUGGGUGAGGGAGACCUCAUUCCAAUUUUAACUGAGAGAGGAGAUCGAAGUAUGUGGAUGACAGGAUAAAACCAACUAGAAUGAAAUCUCACAAGGUGCAUGAAAUGUUCUUCCACGGCAUAUAGCUUCUAAGUUUUCUCCAGCAUAUGAGCAAAGUGGGGAUACCUCCACACCAGUAGCAUAUAAGGGCACUGAAUGCGUUAAGAAGCCGCCUGCUGCAACUACCCAGCGAGUGUGGAGCCUAAGCACAAGCAGACGAGCACUGUCUGGAGUGUCAAAAUUUGACCCAUUGGCAUUUUUAACUGGUGCAAACUCUUCUUCACGUAAUACCUCAAAGAGAGCAGUUGAAGGAGUAUAUGGAAAUGCAUCAAAUAUGAAUUGCUCUAGUUUAAAUCCCAAUGUAAAUCCAUGAAUUGAAGGAAUUUUCUUCUCUGCGAGAUGGUAAAUGCUGUCUUUCUCGAGAGCAUUUGCCACUUGAUUUAGAAAAUCCAAAGUAAACAUGUGUAAACACACAUUACUCCAACAAAAACGAAGGCGUCCAGUUUCCUGAUUGACUACAGAAGCUAGUGACUGAUCCAACUCACUGUAUUCAACAACAGUGAGAGGUCCUCCUUUACCUCGCCUCACAAACACACCAACCUUUUCUUGAGGAUAGGCCUUACGAACAACUUUUGCAGCAGCAGCUACAGCUUUAUCAAUGAAAUAUCCCAAAAAAGUCGGAUCAGCUACACGAACCAAUGCAUUGUCUACUCCAUAGCAAUCCACAUAUUUAAUCCCUCUCGUGGCCAUAUCUUCUAAUAAUUUUGAAUAUUUCAAAGCUGCAUAUACUCCUCCAUUUCCGUCUGGAGACUUAGCUACUCUGAAUGGAGUCUCCAUGAUAAAUCUGCCAUCCUUUGAAACACUAGGUAUAGUACCCUGCUGAAAGAAGGUCACUUGAUCAGAUUCAAGACCAAAGAACUUAUGACUUUCAAAAAAUUUGCGAGUGGCCUCAUCAGUGAAUGGACUGGUCAUUACGUACCAAUGUAUGGACACCGAACCACCAGAACCUUCACUUGCAGCUUGAACAGCUAGUCUUUGGACACACAGAAUUCGUUCAGCCUGAAGUUGAAAAAGGGACUUGCCUGAUGGAAGUCCAACGUUGAAACAUCCUUUUGGAUCUGAACUUCCCAGCCUUGUGCCCUGGCCACCGGAUAAAAGCAAAACAGCCAACUUCCCAUCAGAGAUCGCCUUCAAUCCCAUCUUCCACCACCUCUCUCUUUCUUCCAAAGUUCUCUCCUCCACCGUAGACACACAACUCUCAGGAACUGGCUCUAUGGCAGCUACAGGUAGCCCUUGAGAACGAAGUGAACAUCUAAUUAUCCGAUCUAGCCUUGGAAGAUCUAAACUCUCGAUGUCCUUAACAAGAAGGUCUCGCUCGUCAGGAGAGAGCUCAUCCCAGAGAGCAAAAGCGUCUUCCUGACCAUAAUCUUUGAGCCUCUCCAGCAAAGCCUGUGGAGGAGGAGGAGGAGGCGAAGGCGUUAAUGGCAAUGAAGCGUUAGUCUCAAUCGGUUCUCUCAUAUUUUUUUCUUCUUCUUCUUCUUCUCUCUCUGAAUCUGAGCAGAAAAUUUUGGCUUCUCUAUGUAGAUCUCUCUUUGGGUUUCUGUUUACAGUUUGUUGGUUAAGCUUUGCUUAUAGAGAGCGAGGGGAGAAC